rnacentral:rRNA from 1 species
UACGUAGGGGGCGAGCGUUAUCCGGAAUUACUGGGCGUAAAGCGCACGUAGGCGGCUUUGUAAGUUAGAGGUGAAAGCCCGGGGCUCAACUCCGGAAUUGCCUUUAAGACUGCAUCGCUCGAAUUGUGGAGAGGUAAGUGGAAUUCCGAGUGUAGAGGUGAAAUUCGUAGAUAUUCGGAAGAACACCAGUGGCGAAGGCGACUUACUGGACACAUAUUGACGCUGAGGUGCGAAAGCGUGGGGAGCAAACAGG